GGGCGAAUAGCUCAGUUGGUAGAGCAUCGGCCUUACAAGCCGGGGGUCACAGGUUCGAGCCCUGUUUCGCCCA
rnacentral:tRNA from 1 species